GCGGGAGUAAUUCAGUGGUAGAAUGUCUGCUUGCCAAGUAGAAUGUCGCCAGUUCGAGCCUGGUCUCCCGCUCCA
rnacentral:tRNA from 1 species